UACAGAGGUCUCAAGUGUUGUUCGGAUUCAUUGGGCGUAAAGGGUGCGUAGGCGGUGACGUAAGUCUAGUGUGAAAUUUCGGAGCUUAACUUCGAAACUGCACAAGAUACUGCGUUGCUAGAGGAUUGUAGAGGAGAUUGGAAUUCACGGUGUAGCAGUGAAAUGCGUAGAUAUCGUGAGGAAGACCAGUGGCGAAAGCGAAUCUCUGGGCAAUUCCUGACGCUGAGGCACGAAGGCCAGGGGAGCAAACGGG
rnacentral:rRNA from 1 species